rnacentral:rRNA from 1 species
UACAGAGGGUGCGAGCGUUAAUCGGAUUUACUGGGCGUAAAGGGCGCGUAGGUGGUAAAGCAAGUAAGAUGUGAAAGCCCUGGGCUUAACAUAGGAAGUGCAUCUUAAACUGCUUAACUAGAGUAUGGUAGAGGGUAGUGGAAUUUCCGGUGUAGCGGUGAAAUGCGUAGAGAUCGGAAGGAACGCCAGUGGUGAAGACGACUACCUGGACCAAUACUGACACUGAGGCGCGAAAGCGUGGGGAUCAAACAGG